rnacentral:tRNA from 1 species
GCCUGGGUAGCUCAAUCAGUUAAGCAUCUGACUUUGGCUCAGGUCAUGAUCUUGCAGUUCGUGGGUUCAAGCCCUGCACUGGGCU